GUUUGACCUCAAAUCAGGUAGGAUUACCCGCUGAACUUAAGCAUAUCAAUAGGCGGAGGA
rnacentral:rRNA from 1 species